UGGGGAAUAUUGCACAAUGGGCGCAAGCCUGAUGCAGCCAUGCCGCGUGUAUGAAGAAGGCCUUCGGGUUGUAAAGUACUUUCAGCAGUGAGGAAGGGUGUGAAGUUAAUAGCUUCCUAUCUUGACGUUAGCUGCAGAAGAAGCACCGGCUAACUCCGUGCCAGCAGCCGCGGUAAUACGGAGGGUGCGAGCGUUAAUCGGAAUUACUGGGCGUAAAGCGCAUGCAGGUGGUUUGUUAAGUCAGAUGUGAAAGCCCGGGGCUCAACCUCGGAACCGCAUUUGAAACUGGCAGGCUAGAGUACUGUAGAGGGGGGUAGAAUUUCAGGUGUAGCGGUGAAAUGCGUAGAGAUCUGAAGGAAUACCAGUGGCGAAGGCGGCCCCCUGGACAGAUACUGACACUCAGAUGCGAAAGCGUGGGGAGCAAACAGG
rnacentral:rRNA from 1 species